rnacentral:rRNA from 1 species
GAUGAACGCUGGCGGCAUGCCUUACACAUGCAAGUCGAACGGUAACAGGUCUUCGGAUGCUGACGAGUGGCGAACGGGUGAGUAAUACACCGGAACGUGCCCGAUCGUGGGGGAUAACGAAGCGAAAGCUUUGCUAAUACCGCAUAAGAUCUACGGAUGAAAGCAGGGGACCGCAAGGCCUUGCGCGAACGGAGCGGCCGAUGGCAGAUUAGGUAGUUGGUGGGAUAAAAGCUUACCAAGCCGACGAUCUGUAGCUGGUCUGAGAGGACGACCAGCCACACUGGGACUGAGACACGGCCCAGACUCCUACGGGAGGCAGCAGUGGGGAAUUUUGGACAAUGGGCGAAAGCCUGAUCCAGCCAUGCCGCGUGCAGGAUGAAGGCCUUCGGGUUGUAAACUGCUUUUGUACGGAACGAAAAGACUCUUUCUAAUAAAGAGGGUCCAUGACGGUACCGUAAGAAUAAGCACCGGCUAACUACGUGCCAGCCGCCGCCGUAACAC